rnacentral:sRNA from 1 species
UUCUAACUUUUUUUCUUCUUUUCUUUAAA